rnacentral:rRNA from 1 species
CCUACGGGAGGCUGCAGUGAGGAAUAUUGGUCAAUGGGCGAGAGCCUGAACCAGCCAAGUCGCGUGAGGGAGUACUGCCCUAUGGGUUGUAAACCUCUUUUGUCGGGGAGCAAAAGCCGGACGUGUCCGGCUGUGAGAGUACCCGAAGAAAAAGCAUCGGCUAACUCCGUGCCAGCAGCCGCGGUAAUACGGAGGAUGCGAGCGUUAUCCGGAUUUAUUGGGUUUAAAGGGUGCGCAGGCGGAUUUUUAAGUCAACGGUAAAAUCGUGGGGCUCAACCCCAUCCAGCCGUUGAAACUGGGGAUCUAGAGUGUGGGAGAGGUAUGCGGAAUGCGUGGUGUAGCGGUGAAAUGCAGAGAUAUCACGCAGAACCCCGAUUGCGAAGGCAGCAUACCGGUGCACAACUGACGCUCAGGCACGAAAGCGUGGGUAUCGAACAGGAUUAGAUACCCGAGUAGUC